rnacentral:lncRNA from 1 species
AUUUACUGGUCGCUCAAAGUCGCCGGAAUCUGGGCAGUGUCGCCGGAGAAGUUGCAGCUUCUUGUUCUUCGCGAUUUCUUACCCAGAACUUGUCUAAUUUCGCCCAGAAUUAAUAUAUGAUCUUCCAGAAACAAAAUGGGACAGGUUUGGAGUGAUUUGGAUGAGAGGAAAAGGAGAAUCGAAGAUAUGAAGUUUUGGAGCUUAAAUCUUGAAUUUGAGAAGGGCUAAGAGCUUCUCAUUCUGCCUCUCACGUUUCUGAACCUAAUACUAAUGCCCUAGGACCUCAAGAGCUUCAGAAUGCACAGCAUGCCAGAGACGGUGACCGGAGAUGCGUUUUCCACGGGUUUUGAGCGAGGUGGUACAAUGGGCAGAUGAGUCUCGCUUCCAGAAAGAGAAUGGUGGUGGUUUCGUGCAGUGGGUCGAUCGGACGGAGGAGGAAAUGGCAUUUACUUGUCGCUCAAAGGCGCCGGAAUCUGGGCAGUGUAGCCGGAGAAGGUGCGGGUUAACAAAAUGGGACAGGUUUGGAGUGAUUUGGAUGAGAGGAAAAGGAGAAUCGAAGAUAUGAAGUUUUGGAGCUUAAAUCUUGAAUUUGAGAAGGGCUAAGAGCUUCUCAUUCUGCCUCUCACGUUUCUGAACCUAAUACUAAUGCCCUAGGACCUCAAGAGCUUCAGAAUGCACGAAUUUAUAGUGCUGGAAGUGAUUAGCAAGGAAAUCAAGUUUAUUUCCUUAAGCAUGUUGCCUCACCAAUGAAGUUUCAUGCAUGGUGAUUAACAUUCAGCUUAUGGGAUGUUCUGAAGCUCAUUUAUGAGCUGGCUAUGUAAUGAUUAAGCUGCAGAAAUUUUUGGCUUUACUUGGGCAUAAUGAUGAUGGUGAAUAGUAAUUUUACUAUUCAUUCACCCAGAACUUGUCUAAUUUCGCCCAGAAUUAAUAUAUGAUCUUCCAGAAACAAAAUGGGACAGGUUUGGAGUGAUUUGGAUGAGAGGAAAAGGAGAAUCGAAGAUAUGAAGUUUUGGAGCUUAAAUCUUGAAUUUGAGAAGGGCUAAGAGCUUCUCAUUCUGCCUCUCACGUUUC